GAUGAACGCUGGCGGCGUGCUUAACACAUGCAAGUCGAACGGAAAGACGCGGCGCUUGCUUGUCUGAUGUUAGCGGAGGGCGGGAGAGAAACGCGUGGAUCCCCUCCUUGUAAGUCUGAGAUAGAUAGGGGAAACCGUAGCUAAUACCGGAUAAUAUUUUGAACCGCAGGGUUCAAAGGUGAAAGCCGGUCUUGCUGUCUAUUAUAGAUGGAUACGAGCUGGAGUAGAUAGUUGGUAAGGUAAAGGCUUAUCACGGCAACGAUGCGUAGCCGAACUGAGAGGGUGAUCGGCCACACUGGAACUGAGACACGGACCAGACUCCUACGGGAGGCAGCAGUAUGGAAUCUGCCGCAAUGGGCGGAAGCCUGACGCAGCAACGCCGCGUGAGUGAAGAAGGCCUUCGGUUCGUAAAACUCUUUUAUGAGGGAUGAACCGAUUUUGAAUUAACUGUGCACAUCUUGACGGUACCGAAUCAAAAAGCCACGGCUAACUACGUG
rnacentral:rRNA from 1 species